GGGAAUAUGGUCUAGUGGUAUGACGUCGCUUCCGCAUACCUAGGACUCCCAAAGUUCGCGGUCCGGAAAAGCGAAGGUCCGGGGUUCGAUCCCCUGUGUUUCCA